rnacentral:rRNA from 1 species
GGGGAAUCUUCCGCAAUGGACGAAAGUCUGACGGAGCAACGCCGCGUGAGUGAAGAAGGUUUUCGGAUUGUAAAGCUCUGUCUUCUGGGAAGAAUGGCUUCCAUGUAAAUAAUGUGGGAGCAUGACGGUACUAGAGGAGGAAGCCACGGCUAACUACGUGCCAGCAGCCGCGGUAAUACGUAGGUGGCAAGCGUUGUCCGGAAUUAUUGGGCGUAAAGCGCGCGCAGGCGGGAAUGUAAGUCUGUCUUAAAAGUUCGGUGCUCAACGCCGUGAUGGGACAGAAACUAUAUUUCUUGAGUGCAGGAGAGGACAGUGGAAUUCCCAGUGUAGCGGUGAAAUGCGUAGAUAUUGGGAGGAACACCAGUGGCGAAGGCGACUGUCUGGACUGUGUCUGACGCUGAGGCGCGAAAGCCAGGGUAGUGAACG